UCAUUUACAUGUAAGGUAAUCAUUGAUAUGUAUGAUCCUAUUACCAUUUACUUUAUUGUUUUGGGCUUGUUUUUGUAGAUCUUUUCUUUCUCUUGUGUUUCCUGUCUAGAGAAGUUCCAUUACCAUUUAUUGUAAAGCUGGAUUGGUGGUGCUGAAUUCUCUUAACUUUGCUUAUCUGUAAAGCUUUUGAUUUCUCUUGAAUCUGAAUGAUAUCAUUGCUGGGUAGAGUUAUCUUGGUUGUAAGUUUUUUCUUUCAUCACUUUAAAUAUAUCCUGCCACUCCCUUCUGGCCUCCAGAGUUUCUGUUGAAAAAUCAGCUAAUAACCUUAUGGGAGUUCCCUUAUAUGUUAUUUGCCAUUUUUCCCCUGUUGAUUUUAAUAUUUUAUCUUUGCCUUUAAUUUUCAUCAGUUUGAUUACUAUGUGUCUUGGUGUGUUCCUCCUAGGGUUUAUGCUGCCUGGAUCUCUGUGU